GACCUCUCUCCCACAGGGCCAUAGGGGAUCUUUUUUCUCUUCAGCCAGGGUUGGAGGCCAAGACAGCCCUUGAGAAUCAUUAUCUGGGCAGCCUUGUUUACCUCCCUUGGGCAUUU
ensembl:scaRNA